CCUACGUGAGGCAGCAGUAGGGAAUCUUCCACAAUGGGCGAAAGCCUGAUGGAGCAACGCCGCGUGGGUGAAGAAGGUCUUCGGAUCGUAAAACCCUGUUGUUAGAGAAGAAAGUGCGUGAGAGUAACUGUUCACGUUUCGACGGUAUCUAACCAGAAAGCCACGGCUAACUACGUGCCAGCAGCCGCGGUAAUACGUAGGUGGCAAGCGUUAUCCGGAUUUAUUGGGCGUAAAGGGAACGAAGGCGGUCUUUUAAGUCUGAUGUGAAAGCCUUCGGCUUAACCGGAGUAGUGCAUUGGAAACUGGGAGACUUGAGUGCAGAAGAGGAGAGUGGAACUCCAUGUGUAGCGGUGAAAUGCGUAGAUAUAUGGAAGAACACCAGUGGCGAAAGCGGCUCUCUGGUCUGUGACUGACGCUGAGGUUCGAAAGCGUGGGUAGCAAACAGGAUUAGAUACCCUUGUAGUC
rnacentral:rRNA from 1 species